CUGAGAUGAUGGUAGUGCACACAUGAAACUAACAAAUCACAAACUUGAGUUUGAUGGUAGAUUAAAGGUUUUAACUAAAUGUGGAUAAAAUCAAUUGAAAGAUCUACAUAGAUUUUAAACGCUGCAAGUUUCUGAAAUCUAAACGGGACGGACGGACGGACAGACAGGCCACACAAAACUAAUAGCGUCGUUUCCCCUUUUGGGGACCGCUAAAAAUUUGGUUCAACAAUGUUCAGAGAUUUUCUCAGACGAAGCCACCCACCAACACAGAAGAGACUAUCAGAGCUAAACUUUUGGUAGACCUAAAGCAAUGACCACUCACGCACCCCUCCAUGUCAAACCGAAAACAACAGAAGAAUUCGCCUUAGAUCAUCACAGCAUACUCACGACUAUCAUAUUAGCUUCACUACUGACUGUUUCGUUGGCUGCUUUUUUAGUCAUCUUCUGCAAGAAAGAAAAAUUGUGUUGUUUUAACCCUGGUAGACGUUCCAGGUUUACACUCAUUGAUCUCAUCUCUUCCCCCGUUGACCCUCCCCUCAAGCCAUCUACAACGUCGUUAAUCUUCAAUUUCACCAAGAAAUUCGAGAAAGAGCAUGUGGUCAAGAAUCGAGGCACCGAUGUGUAGUAGACAAUGAACCGUGAAACUAAAGCGAGGCUUGCUGCCCGUGACCAUAUCAAGAAGAUAGCCGGACUUUGUUUCGUUCAGACUUAUGUAUAUUCGAUGUUACAAAACAAAUUAUUAAAUGAAAUGUUCUCUUGUUGAUUGUUUUCCAAACAAAAUGCAUUCUCUUGGUUUCUUUACAUUUUAAUUGAUUAGAGAUGAACUAAGGCAAGUAUAAGAGUAUACUAUAUAAGAGACUUGGCAUAUUUUCUCCAACAUCUUCUGUCUCUACAACAAAUAUAAGACUGUCAUCUGCUUCUCAAAAAUAGAUUUAAUGUAUUUGAAAAGCUAGAAACAAAUAAAGGUCUUUCGUUGUUCCAUUCUCUAACUCUAGUUUAUAAACUAAGUUACUGUCUUUCGUUGUUCCAUUCUCUAACUCUAGCUUGUAAACUAAGUUACUGUCUUUCGUUGUUCCAUUCUCUAACUCUAGUUUGUAAACUAAGUUACUGUCUUUCGUUGUUCCAUUCUCUAACUCUAGUUUGUAAACUAAGUUACUGUCUUUCGUUGUUCCAUUCUCUAACUCUAGCUUGUAAACUAAGUUGCUGUCUUUCGUUGUUCCAUUCUCUAACUCUAGCUUGUAAACUAAGUUACUGUCUUUCGUUGUUCCAUUCUCUAACUCUAGUUUGUAAACUAAGUUGCUGUCUUUCGUUGUUCCAUUCUCUAACUCUAGCUUGUAAACUAAGUUACUGUCUUUCGUUGUUCCAUUCUCUAACUCUAGUUUGUAAACUAAGUUGAUGUCUUUCGUUGUUCCAUUCUCUAACUCUAGUUUGUAAACUAAGUCCAGGUCCAAAAAGAACAAAAGCAACUCCUUGCGUCUAGAGCGCACUAAUCAUCCUAGAAAAAACAUACUAUCCAAAUCCAGUUAAAUCUGACGAAGAAAGAGGCAGCACUGGUGGUCAUUAAUGUUAUGAAAGUCACAUUCUAUAUCACUAUAGCUCACAUACGUUUGUAAUCAGCGUAUUUAGAAAGAAGUCGCGGAUUUUUUUUCGUCCCCCAAAACUAGUCAACAGAACAAUGCCCUAGAGUCCGUAGAAAUGUGAUUGUGUUCUAGCAUCCAGUCGAGAUGAAUUGCCUUAAAAGAAGGCAUUUACAAUGUUUGUUUUCCUUUCUUGUUGCAUACGCCUCUGUUCAAAACGGUAAACAUUUGGAAAAAAUCCUACAUAGUACAUGAAAUGAAGUCUCUUACUUUAAAUAUUUUAAAUUCUGAAACAUCGAUGACAAUGCCCUUUUUCUUUUUUUUUUUUUUAUAUUCAAAUCUAUGUUUAUCACUACAAUAAAAUUAAAGAACUGUCGCGAGCCAUGCAAAGCUUACGUGUAUCGUCAAAGUUCACGAACGACGGUCACAUUUCUUUUUUUCAGAAAAACUUUUUGUGUGAGAGUUGAUAAUGACUCCAGAAAACUUAAAGUGUGAGAGUUGAUAAUGACUCCAGGAACUAAAUGUGUGAGAGUUGAUAGUGACUUCAGAAAACUAAAUGUGUGAGAGUUGAUAGUGACUCCAGAAAAUUAAAUGUGUGAGAAUGACUAUGUUACAGCAAUCAAUUGUGUGAGAGUUGAUUAUGAUCUUUAUUAUUCCACGAAACUCAGUUUGCUAAGUGUUUAUAUUAGAUAGACAUGUGUGUUAAUAUUAAUUUAAACAAUAGACUCUUAAUUACUAGGAAAUAAUUAUUAUUUGUGUCAGGCAUACAAUUCAAAAUGAUAAAACUUACCGUCAAUGUCUAUGUGUCAAACGCAACUCUUCCUCAGCUCCCGACCAACGCUCGAUGAAUACUUUGAACUCGGGUCAGACUCCUGCACUGGCCCCCUGUAAAUCUAAGGCCUCGAUCUCUUCACUAAAGGAACUAGUCCAGAGGCUCUCAACCAGAAGUUUCUCUUUACGAUCUAAUAUCGACAAAACAAUGGAAGUUUCUUCUUCACACUGGGCAGGUACUGAAGUGUGAGGAUCCCUGCAAUCAAUCUUAGACAAUAAAAAACUGUAUCAAUAAAUGUAGAGACAUUUGAUUGAUAAGAUAAUUGAUUAGAUAAAAGAUUUUAAGAUUCACCCAUACUUUUCACAGCACUUUAAUAGUAAUAUGUUCUUUCGAUUUUGUCCACAAUUUUGAAAAUGUCAAAUGAAAACAAACAAACAAAAAAGUUUAUAGCCUUCACGCUUAACUGUGAAAAAUUUCCUGAA